rnacentral:siRNA from 1 species
GAGUCUGUGAACCGGUGUUG